CAAAUAACAAAAUGGGGAAAGGUGAUGUUGACAAAAAAGGGAGAGAGGAAAAAGAAAUAUGUCACGGUGAAGUUUACCAAGUCCAUGCACAGAGCAGCUGACAGCACUGGAGAGAACAGUACUGCCAGUGCACCCACGGCAGGAAGGAGAUAAGUCAUCUCUCACAAUGCUGAGGGGUUUCAGUCUGUGCACAGCUUCAGAGCAGCCUGUCUUUGCUGUUUCCAGAAGCAAAGUCUAUUGAAGAAAGCAAGAUGUCCUUUUUGGAGAAUCUUGGUGAUUAUAAUAUUCUUUGUGUUACUAUCAUUACCAACAGGAGGAAUGACGCCUUGCUGAUUUUCCUGUUAUGGUAUUAAAUUUUACUUUCCCAAGUCAAAAGUAAUUGGAGUUGAGUAACUUCCAUGCUUAAGUGACUACAUUUUCAUUUAUUGGUGAGGAGUUACAUGUGCCACUAAUGGCUGUGCUCUGCAAUGUAUGCAAGCCA